AUCCAUUUCCCAUAAUGCAUUCUCAGGGACAAUCCCCAAGGAGAUUGGAAAUCUUAAGGAUCUCAAAUUUCUUUCCUUUGGAACAAAUAAUUUUUCCGGAACAUUCCCUCCAGAACUUGGCAACUUAAUCAAGCUUGAGCAACUUUACUUAGACAGUUCUGGGGUGGGUGGUGAGAUUCCUUCCACAUUCGCUAACCUUCGAAACAUGCAAAUUAUGUA